rnacentral:rRNA from 1 species
GACGAACGCUGGCGGCGUGCUUAACACAUGCAAGUCGAACGGAAAGGCCCAGCUUGCUGGGUACUCGAGUGGCGAACGGGUGAGUAACACGUGGGUGAUCUGCCCCAAACUUCGGGAUAAGCCUGGGAAACUGGGUCUAAUACCGGAUAUGACCUGCUCCUGCAUGGGGGUUGGUGGAAAGCUUUUGCGGUUUGGGAUGGGCCCGCGGCCUAUCAGCUUGUUGGUGGGGUAAUGGCCUACCAAGGCGACGACGGGUAGCCGACCUGAGAGGGUGAUCGGCCACACUGGGACUGAGACACGGCCCAGACUCCUACGGGAGGCAGCAGUGGGGAAUAUUGCACAAUGGGCGCAAGCCUGAUGCAGCGACGCCGCGUGAGGGAUGACGGCCUUCGGGUUGUAAACCUCUUUCGCCAGGGACGAAGCGCAAGUGACGGUACCUGGAGAAGAAGCACCGGCCAACUACGUG